GAUUAUGUCUUAGGCUUGAAAAAGGAAUUUCUAGUGGCUCCUCGAAAGCAUCGUGAGAGUUAAAUUUUGGAUUGUCGGUUGGAUUAAGAGACUCGGGAUUAGGUGGAAUUGAGGAUUUGCCAAAUUCUUAGAACGAAGCAAAGAAUAUAAUUUGAGAUUGUUAUUGUCUUCUAGGCAAAGGUUAAAUAAAGUCUUUAAUAUUUAGUUGAUAAAUUGAGAGUUUUGUAAUAAUGAGAUUCUUUUUUUAGGUUGAGAUUUAUUUGGAGUUCAGGAAUAUUUAUUUUUAUCAAGUUAAUUGGCUUAGUUUGACUUUUGGGAUUAUAGAGAAUAUUUGUUGUUGGUUUUAGUUCAAUGAAAAGAUUUGUUUUAGUGGUCUUUUAAUGAAUGUAUAUUUUGGAGGACUUUUCACAGGUUUAGUCCGGCUCUAAUAUUCCUUUUAGGUUCGGAAAUUGGGGUCGUGACACCAUUGUACUGU